UACAGAGGUCUCAAGCGUUGUUCGGAUUCAUUGGGCGUAAAGGGUGCGUAGGGUGGCGCCGUAAGUCAGGUGUGAAAUUUCGGAGCUUAACUCCGAAACUGCAUUUGAUACUGCGGUGCUUGAGGACUGGAGAGGAGACUGGAAUUUACGGUGUAGCAGUGAAAUGCGUAGAGAGUCGUAAGGAAGACCAGUGGCGAAGGCGGGUCUCUGGACAGUUCC
rnacentral:rRNA from 1 species